AUUGCCCUGAAUCAUAGUUCUCCUUUAUACUCCAGAUGAGUCUGAUUGAAGGAUAUGAUUAAAGUGAUGUAAUUUUCCAUGAACUCUUUCUUUCUCUCCCUCUCUCCCCUCCCUCUACUCUCUUCCCCCUUCCCUAUGUAGCAGUGUGUGUGAUGAGGACUAACAGCUGCCAGUCUGACAGCAGCGGCUUCCUGGAAGAGCCCUUCAUCCCUUCCAUUACCCAGCAUCCCUCACCUGGACCCGAGCUCAUGAAGGCUUUGUCGGGAAUAUCUGGAGGCAGCACUGACAGCCAGAUCACUGUAAAAGGAGCUUCACCCCCCUCGUCCCCCCCAUCCACUUCCCUGGACCCUUCCCCUCCUUCCCUCUCCAUGUGCCACCCAAGACCCGAGUCUCCUCUAUACAGACCAGAGACAACAAGCCCUACAGAGGAGACACCCAGACACCAGGAUUCCCCCACACCCCACUCCCUCCUCUCUGAUGCCUUGGAGAUGACUAACUCUGCUUUUGGAGCCAGGCCAAGCCUAAUGGAAAACACUGUCACUGAGGAAGAUGGAUUCUCUUCGGCCUGCGGUUCACCUUGUCAUAAGCCAGACUCUCCGUUACGGCACGUUAUUAUUAUCAUGAAAACAGAUAGAGAAACAGAACACUUUACUGUGGAAUCAGAGGAAGCUGUUCCAAUAGGAGGAGAGGAAAAGGACAUAGCGGAACAAAGUGGCAAUGUUCAGACAGGAACAGAGGCUGUUGGUGAUCAGGACACCGAUUGUUAUGGGUCACAUGAAGGCUCUCGGAUGAACUCGGUAGCUCUAGUGCAGAUGAAGAAAGAGACGGAGAUGAAGACGAAAGUACAGAUUAGUUCUGGUUUGGAAGGUCCAGUGUUGGGUCCUGUUGCUGUUCCUGAGGUGGUGAAUCAAGGCUCUGAGACUGGAUUUGUUUGUCAGGACCGGUACUCUGAAGAUCCUCUAUUAGGAUCUGACCCUAACUUCUCAGCAGUGCUAAGCCCUGCCUCCUCUCUCCCCCCAGCAGAGCCUCUCCCUGCCUCCUCUCUCCCCCCAGCAGAGCCUCUCUCUGCCUCCCCACCCCCAGUGCACUGGGAAACAGGUGGCUCAAAGAUUUCAGAGGGAUCCUCAAGCUUGGUUGUCCAAGAGCCUGUCCCACCACUAUAUCAACCAGCAGACCCAUCAACAGACCCACCUCCAGGCCCAGCUUUAACCUCACCUUCAGAGCAAGUGUCAUCUCCAUCCCCACCACCAUCUCUAUCCCCAGCCUCAUGGCCACACCAACCUCCAGCCUCAGCUUUUCCGGCAGCAUCCAGCUCAUCUCCAACCCAAGCCCAUUCCCCAAUCCCAAACCAUUCUCUAUCAGCCCUAACCACAACACCAACCCCAUCCUCAAUUCCAAACUCACCAUCAGCCCAUUCCUUAACCGUAGCUCCAUCUCAAGCCCCAACUCCACUCGUCCCCCACAGUGGUGCUUUCAGGUCAGGCCGGUCUGUGUCUGUCCAGAUGCCCUCCUCCCUGCCCUCUGUCUCCCACUCUGCCCUCCGGAGAGGUGGCGUCCCCCACACCCCCUCCCCGCUCGGCCCUUCCUUCGAGCCCCGCCCCCUGACUGACCUGGUGCUUCGGCAGAGGCGGAACUCCUUCUCCAGGAAGGCGUGGUCAGAUGCUGAUGUCUCCCACUUUGCAGAACACAGAAACACUGCGGUUGCCAUGGGAAAAGCAGUCAUGACACCUGAGAUGAUAUCCCUCCCGUCCCCCGUCCCCUCCCCCUCCCUGUCAUCGUCCAAUCGGUGGCUGUCUCGCGACGGUUCACGAAGAUCCGGAAGUUUCCAGAUGAAGUCCACCUCCUUGGACACGGGGCUGUGGCAGGAGGAUGAAGAAGUGGGGGAUGAGGAUAGACGGUGGGAACGAGCACUGUUCUCUGGGCUUUCCUGCUGCUGCUCCUGUGAUAACCGCUGUAGCUGCUGUUCUCAGAACAAUCACCUCAAACCAUUCUCCGUUUCAGCUUUCCCUUAUUCCCUGGAUGAGCUGGAGGGGAUGAUGCACUGUAUGAGGAAGUUCCGCUGCGUCCUGACAGACAUCGAGGAACAGCUGUCAGAAGACCAGGCCUCGGUGUACAGCUCACUCUCUGACACUGACAGGUAGAUAAUACCCCCUCUAGCGGACGCUUUGGGCUACUUCACCUCACUCAUACCAUCUC
ensembl:lncRNA